AUUUUGGACAAUGGGCGCAAGCCUGAUCCAGCCAUGCCGCGUGAGUGAAGAAGGCCUUCGUGGGGGAAAGCUCUUGAGGCGGGAAAGAAAGACAGACGGCUAAUACCCUGCCCGGAUGACGGCACCGUCAUAAGAAGCCCCGUCAAACUACGUGCCAACCCCCGCGGUAAUACGUAGGGUGCGAGCGUUAAUCGGAAUUACUGGGCGUAAAACGUGCGCAGGCGGUUGAUUAAGACAGGCGUGAAAUCCCCGGGCUUAACCUGGGAACUGCGCUUGUGACUGGUCAGCUAGAGUACGGCAGAGGGGGGUGGAAUUCCACGUGUAGCAGUGAAAUGCGUAGAGAUGUGGAGGAACACCGAUAGCGAAGGCAGCCCCCUGGGCCGAUACUGACGCUCAUGCACGAAAGCGUGGGUAGCAAACAGG
rnacentral:rRNA from 1 species